GAUCAAUUUAGUGGCAUUCUGAA
rnacentral:snRNA from 1 species